rnacentral:rRNA from 1 species
AUGGCAGCCUUCAGGAUCGCCUCUCUCUCCCUCCUUCCCUUCCUCCUCCUCGCCGUCGUCGCCGCGGGGGAGGGCGCCGGCGAUGAGCGCAGCACGUUCAUCGUGCACGUGCAGCCCCAGGCGAGCCACGUGUUCGGCACGGCCGACGACCGCAAGGCCUGGUACAACUCCUUCCUCCCCGAGAACGUCCGGCUCCUCCACGCCUACCACCACGUCGCCAGCGGCUUCGCGGUCCGGCUGACGCGGCGGGAGCUCGACAAGAUGUCCGCCAUACCCGGGUUCGUCGCCGCGGUGCCCGACCGGGUUUACAAGCUGCACACCACGCACACGCCGCGGUUCCUCGGGCUGGACGCGCGCCAGGGCGGCAGGAACUACUCGGCCGGAUCCGGCGAUGGCGUCAUCAUCGGGGUGCUCGACAGCGGCGUCACUCCCGACCACCCCUCCUUCAGCGGCGAUGGCAUGCCGGCGCCGCCCGCCAAGUGGAAGGGGAGGUGCGACUUCAACGGCCGCUCCGUGUGCAACAACAAGCUCAUCGGCGCUCGCGUUUUCGACACUGCCGUCAGUGCUGGGAACGGCACCACCUCUACCGGUGCGCCGCUGUCGCCGAUCGACGAGGAUGGGCACGGCACGCACACGUCGAGCACGGCGGCGGGAGCAGUCGUGCCAGGCGCCCAGGUGCUUGGCCAGGGGAGGGGCACCGCGUCCGGGAUAGCGCCCCGCGCGCACGUCGCAAUGUACAAGGUGUGCGGCCUGGAGGACUGCACCAGCGCCGACAUACUCGCCGGCAUCGACGCUGCCGUGGCUGACGGCUGCGACAUCAUCUCCAUGUCCCUCGGCGGGCCGUCGUUGCCGUACCCCGAGGACAGCAUCGCCGUCGGCACGUUCGCCGCCGCAGAGAAGGGGAUUUUCGUCAGCAUGUCAGCCGGCAACUCCGGCCCAAACUACACCACGCUGUCGAACGAGGCGCCCUGGAUGCUCACCGUCGCCGCGAGCACCAUGGACCGUUUGAUCAGAACCAGGGUGCGCCUUGGGAACGGUCUCUACUUCGAUGGCGAGUCCGUGAACCAGCCGGACGCUGCGGCGACCGUCUUCUACCCGCUGGUCUACGCCGGCGCGAGCUCCACGCCAGACGCGCAGUUUUGCGGCAACGGCUCGCUGGACGGCUUCGAUGUCAAGGGCAAGAUAGUGGUCUGUGAGCGCGGCAAUGACGUCGGUAGGGUUGACAAAGGCGCCGAGGUGGUAAGAGCCGGAGGCGUCGGCAUGAUUCUGGCCAACCAGGCCAUUGACGGCUUCAGCACCAUCGCCGACGUGCAUGCCCUCCCAGCGUCGCAUGUCAGCUACCACGCCGGAGACGCAAUCAUGAACUACAUCAAGUCGACGGCGAGACCGAUGGCGCAAAUCAUGUUCAGGGGAACGGUCCUCGGCACGUCGCCGGCCCCGGCUAUCACUUCCUUCUCCUCGCGCGGGCCAAGCUUGCAGAACCCCGGCAUUCUGAAGCCCGACAUCACGGGCCCCGGCGUUAGCGUGCUCGCGGCGUGGCCAUUCCAGGUAGGUCCACCCUCGUUGGCCGGGAAGUACUCCGGGCCGACAUUCAACUUCGAGUCCGGAACGUCCAUGUCGGCGCCGCACCUCAGCGGCAUCGCCGCGUUGAUCAAGAGCAAAUACCCGGACUGGUCGCCGGCGGCGAUCAAGUCCGCCAUCAUGACAACCGCCGACAGCACGGACCGCUCCGGCAUGCCGAUAACCGACGAGAAGGGGACGGCGGCGGACCUCUUCGCCCUUGGUGCCGGCCAUGUCGACCCGGACAAGGCCAUGAACCCCGGCCUGGUAUACGACAUCACCCCGGCCGAUUACAUCGGCUUCCUCUGCGGCAUGUACACGGGCAAGGAAGUCUCCGUGAUCGCGCGCCGUGCAGUGGACUGCUCGGCCGUCAAGGUGAUCCCGGACCGCCUGCUGAACUACCCGUCGAUCUCCGUCACGUUCCCCUCGUCGUGGAACCCGAUGACUCCGAUGGUGGUUACACGCAAGGUGAGGAACGUCGGAGAGGCGCCGGCGGUGUACUACCCCCAGUUCGACUUGCCGGACAACUCUAUGAACGUCACCGUCAUGCCGAGCUCGCUGCGGUUCACUGAGGCGAACCAGGUGAAGGUUUUCAAGGUGACCGUGUCGCCGAGGAGCAGCGGCGAUGCGGUGGUGGUGCAGGGAGCGCUCCGGUGGGUGUCGGACAAGCACACCGUAAGAAGCCCCAUGUCCGUCGCCUUCGCCGGACACUAG